CUCUGGCAACCCGCUGGGUUCCCUUCCACAUUGGGAAAGUUUUGUUCUUUCCUUCUUUGCAAUAAAUCUUGCUACUGCUUGCUUUUUGGGUUCAUAUUGCCUUUAUAAGUUGUGACACUCAUCGUGAAGGUCUGUAGCUUCGCUCCUGAAGCUAGGGAGACCAUGAACCCACCAGAGGGAAGAAACUCUGAACACAUCCAAACAUCAGAAGGAACAAACUCCGAAUGCGCCAUUUCUAAGAACUGUAACACUCCCCCCAAGGGUCUGUGGCUUCAUUCUUGAAGUUGGUGAGACCAAGAACCCACCAAUUCCGGACACACCGGCACUUUAGGAGGCCGAGGCAGGCAGAUACCUGAUGAGUGCCAUGCCAUGUCGUCCAAGCUGGCUUCAAACUCCUGAGUUCAAACAAUCCUCCC
rnacentral:lncRNA from 1 species